AUCGUUUGCUAACACUUAAACAAAGUGCAAAACAUUGAACCACUAUUCUUCAUGUCAUAUUGUCAUUGCCAGUCACAUGCAUUCUUCUUUUUUUUUUGUCUCAGUCACAUGCAUCCUAUCUCUCUUUUCCUUUUUCAUUUAUACCACUAUAUUUUAUUUUCGGGGUUCCCCGCUUCGCGGGUUAUUCUCCUGGACCCGGUCAGACAGCGGUCCACUUCAUCCGGGAGAGCUUUACCUGGGCUGGAUCGAACCCAACCGCUUUGGGGUCCAGAAGAGACAGGGUAGUUUCCGCAUGGGGAGGGAAUCGAACCCGGAUGGUGGUUGCCACUACAGGUCCGUCCUGCCACUUGGACUACCUCGUCUGGACAAUAAGAAUAUAUUAGCUGUUUAAAAGUUCACAUACAAAUGUCGUACCCAAUUUCAUAAACACAUAUAUUGAAAGUUUAUCUUUGAGGAAUAUUAUAUACUUAGACGUUCGUUCCAUAUAUAACAGAUAUAAUUUUCUAA